AUUUAAUGAUGCAUAAUAAAAUAUGAAUGAAUGAGAUAUAAUACAACAUAGUAAUCUUUACAACACAUAGUAAUCUUUACAAGGUCAUUUUGUACAGUGGAACCUGUCAAUAGAAAAUUUAUUGAAGACUAAGGAAGGCUAUCUUUUUUAAUACUUUUAGUCAUUAUCAACAUGGAUGGUAUACCAAAUCAUUCAGAAUUUUCAAUUCUGUUUCAUUUUGAUGUUCC
rnacentral:lncRNA from 1 species